ensembl:lncRNA
AACUACUUCCUGGGGCUAUGAGAUGAUGGGGAAAUUACAACCCCUCAACUACUUCCUGGGGCCAUGAGAUGACGGGGAAAUUACAACCCCUCAACUACUUCCUGACAGGGAAAUUACAACCCCUCAACUACUUCCUGGGAUUAUGAGAUGACAGGGAAAUUACAACCCCUCAACUACUUCCUGGGACUAUGAGAUGACGGGGAAAUUACAACCCCAAACUACUUCCUGGGGCUAUGAGAUGACAGGGAAAUUACAACCCCUCAACUACUUCCUGGGAUUAUGAGAUGACGGGGAAAUUACAAACCCUCAACUACUUCCUGGGAUUAUGAGAUGACAGGGAAAUUACAACCCCUCAACUACUUC